rnacentral:lncRNA from 1 species
AUAUGUUGCUGGAAACAUAUCUGAACUCUAAUAGCCAACAUAAUGCACAAUAGUUCAUUUUCUUGGUAAAAGACAUCCUUGAGACCUGCUCAACAUGUGGGUCAACAUGUGGGUCACGGACCUUCGACCCUUUCACAGGGUCACAUAUCAUGUUUACACUAUGAUUCAUAACAGUAGCAAAAUUACAGUUACGAAGUUGCAACAAUAGUAUUAUGGUUGGGGGUCACCUCAACAUGAGGAAGUGUAUUAAAGUGUUCCAGCUUUAGUAAAGUUGAGAACCAUGGUGCUAGACACAUUUAGUAAUAUUCAAGAACCAUGAGGCUGGUAUCUGUGUUGAUAUAGUUAAUUCCGUCAUUAGAAUUAAGCAGUUCAACUAUAAUUCAACCAAUAACUGAUGUGUUAAUCACAUACAACAUGCAGUGUGUCAGCGGUGCUUUGAUAUGUUAUGUAAAUGGUAAGGCACAGGGAGUAGUGGUCAGAACUCACACAUUCACCCUUUGCUACUGUAGACAGCAGGUGUUUGAGCCUUGCCUAUCAGCUGGGUGUGACGAUAUGUUAAAUUGGUUUCUAAUUUAAAUCAUUUCAACAUCUUUUGGUAAGAUUAGAGCUUCAGCUGUUAAAUUAAUGAGUGAAUAAGUUAAUUCAGAAAGCAAAGCUAAAAGCCAAAGACCUGUGGAAAGACUCUUCCUUCCCAUUUUUCAUCUUCUUUAUGUUCACCUGCUCUCUUCUGUUCUCUUUCCAAUGCUCUCCCACUCGAGCUGGGGCUGGAUUUUCCAUGGUCGGGGCUCCGCGGUGCAUCUCUCCCAGGAACCUGUACCCAAGUGAUCUCAAAGGUUUGCAGUGACGGACAGUUCCUGGGAUGCCAUAGCAACAAUUCAGAGCUCAUGGUGACUUGACAUCUUCGGCUUUGAUCCUUCGGUUGGAACCUGCUGAUAGAAAAGCUGACUUAACUGAUGGCACAAGUGUACUCUGAACCAGAACCCACUUCGGUCUUCACCGUGACAGCCUGAGCCCUGCUGACUGAGAGGCGGCAUUUUGAUCUUCCUCACUUAAGAGAGCUGACCCAAGUGAUAUGAGAAGUUUGCUGUGAUGGACAGUUUCUGGGUGCUUUGCCAACAAUCCAGAGUACAUGGUGACAUGUCAACUCCAGCUGUGAUCCUCCUGUGUGGCACUGACUUACAGAAAUGGCGACCCAACAGAUGGUACCAGCAUGCUGAGAUAUAGAACCACCCUUGUAUCACCACUGUGACAUCUCAGAGCUUUGCCGACCAAGAGGCAACAUCUUGAUCUUCCUUGCCCACCAGCUUGCAGGAAGGUGACUCUAGUGAUGGUAGAGUUAUGGAUAAUGGACAAUUCCUGGGAUGCCAUGGCAACAGUCCACAGCCCAUGGUGACUUGUCAACUCCAGCUCUGUUCCUUCUGUGCGCACCUGCUUAUAGAAAGGCUGACCUGGUGAUGGUGAACCACCACCCCAAGUCUGCAUGUCACAAAUCAGCAUCUCUCUCUCCUAUGGAGUCUGGUUCUAGGUCUUGACAGAGGCUGAUUGACUGAUGUCAUUGCAAAAGUUUCCUGUCAUAGAGAGUUCCUCUGAUGUCCCUUCAGCACCACUACAACUGCUGACUGCAGGAUUUCCUAUGUUUAAUGACUGCCUCAAGAAUGUGUGCUCCUAGGCUGAUGUCUGCAUUUUCUAUGAUCAGCAGUGGAACAUUUGCACCUCUGCAUUGAACAUGGGGCAGUGUGGACCAUCUAAUUAGAGGACCCUCCAAUGGUCAAGCACUCUAUUUGCACCAGCUUGAGGAGACGAACAAGACCAGUAAUGGACUUUCCCAAGGUAUCUAUUCACCUCCAAUGGCUUCCAGCCCUUCAGUUGCUCGUGAUGAUGUGAGAUCUGCCCAAACUUCUCCUCAUAGUUUUGAUGGUUUGAUGAAGGUGUUUGCUGCCUGGAGGAGGUCUCCAUGUCUAGGAUCUCCGCUGAUGUCAUGGGUGGUGCUGGGCUGACCAGUGUGAGUAGUGCCUUGGACUCUUUCUCCACGUUUGGUGGUUUGCUUAGCAGAACUCAGUGUGUCACUGAGAACUGUAACAUGGCAUUUAGAAUGAGUGUUUCAUACCAGGGAGUGCCACAGACAUGAAUGGAAGUUGUCAAAUUAUUAAUAAAACAUUGAGGAUGGUUAAUUAAGGCUAGAACACUUCCACACUGAUUAGGAAUAAGAUUUUUAGGGUUGUUGGAAUAAUAGGUGCUCAAAUUAUUAUUAGCUGAUCGUUGAACUAAUUAUCAGACAAUAGGAAAGGACUGCUUGGAAAGAGAAAGGAGCAGCCAUGACUGAUCCUGAGCACUGUUGACAUAUGAGUCACAUGGAUAACUACAUGUCUGGAACUUUGAGAUCUACUAAAGAAGUAAUAUAAUCCUCUGUCUUCAUUUCAAGUGUUCCUGUAGAAAGACUACCAGCCCGGAUAAUCUGUUCAUUUCGCCCCACCCUCCCUUGUUAUAAAUUCUAUUUUGUUUUUAUAAUUAUAUCAAUGUGAGAAUCAAGCAAUCAGUCUCAAAAAUAAGUGAAAAUGAAAUGGGUAAAUCAUUGCCUGAGCCAAGAAAUAGAUUAGUAUGUACAGAAUAUUAUGCCACCUUAAAAUUUUUUUCUUGCCGCUGAUGACCUGAAGCAUGUAAAUUACAAUGUCUGCAUUCUGAGAGAGUUUGAAAAUUCCUUGUUUUUAAGCCACAAGAACAUUAAAUAUGCUCCAAAAAUGGUGGGCCUAGUGGCCAGUGGUAGGUGAGAAGUGAAACCUGUUAAAGGGAAAGACUUGAUUUCUUGUUCAGUCAUCCCUAGAAUGGACGCACUGUCUGACAGGGGCAUCCUCCAUGAUUGGGGUCUCCUGUUUCUGCUGGACUGAUUCUGAAUAGUUUUGCUUAAGUUCAGAAAAAAAAAAAAAAGAUUCAAAAUUCUGUUUUGAAAGAUUUGCUUACGAUUACUCAGUGCCUUAUGCAGCUAGGAGGUUUCCAUCUUUAGUACCCGCCCUUUAUAGACAGAGGCCUCGAGAAGUAGAUCUCUGAGUUUAAGGACAGUCUGAGCUACAAACCAAGUUCCAGAACAGCCAGCGCUCCACACAGACAAAAAUAAUAUUCACAUGAUUAGUGAAGACCACCUGUAUCCCAGUGAUUGAUCACUGAUGGAUAUUGAGUCUUCUAUUGAUUGUACUUUUAUGAAAAUGUGAAUUAAUUACCAGCUAGUCUGAAGUUAUUCAUCUUCUUAUAAAAUUAAAGACUCCAACUGAGUCAAAAAGAUACAAAACUAGAAUGGAGAGUGAGCAGGUCUUCCGUCUCUCAUAUUCUGUCUGAUGUUUGUUUCCGAGUGAAGGAACGAUGUUACUGAAGAGUCUGCCAUGGUCAAGGGCUCUGUGCUUUCCCAAGAAGAAGUUCAUGUUGAAUAGUAGAGCAAUGGGAAGAGAGUUCCUUAUUCACACCUGGGGUUUAAGUACAGCGGAUGCAUGCAGCUCCUCUCAUCAUGGAUACUUCAGGAUGAAGGUCACAACACUCACUGCAUGGCUGGGCCAGUACAGACCUCAAUGAGUAAGAGACCAAGUUUCCUGCUUGCUCUUUCUGUUAAGCUGAUCACUGUCUACUUCAAAUUGGCAUUAUGUGUCAUAUAGUCAAAGAUAACUACACAUAUUCCAAUGCUUGGGGUGGGGGGUCCUGGAAAGCCACAGUCAGUCUGUGUGCAUAAAUGGGACCUAUACACUGUAGGUUUUGACUACAUUCUGGAAAUGAGAUUACAGACACUCUCUUAUGUGCAGGCAAAACCUUGUUCUUGUUAAGAAAAGGACAUAGAAUAAAGGGCUCACACAGCACCCAUCCUGGAAUUGUACCAUAAAAGAUUUAUUUUAACUAGGGUGAGGUAUUGUGCUCCACUAAUGGAGUCUACAGAAAAAAAUGUAGAAAACCAACUCCCCCUGUUGUGUUUGGCUGUAAAAUCUUUUCUGUUGAUUUAAUUUAAUUUUUGAAAAUGAGUGACUAAAUUAAUCAGGAAAAAUCUAUGCCCAGAAAUUGUAAAUGUUGGAGAUUAUCCCCAUGAGAUGAGAACGCUGGCCAUGAAAAUUAAGAUUUAUGGGCAACUCAAAUUUUUCCUCUUAAUCCCAUUUAACACAAAAAGAUUUAAUCUGUUGCCUUUGUAUGUAAGGAACCCUGCCCCAAACCACAUUAAAUACUCAUUCUUUUUCAUUUAUUUUGUACUUCGAUGAGUUUACAAAACUGUCCUUAUCAUUAUUUUUUAGUAAACCAAUCUUUUAAAAAGUAAGUUGGAAAUAGACCAGGUAAGGUCAAAAUUUAAAUAUUUUGCGAUAAGUAGUCCUUAGCCACUGAUGUCUACCGAAGGAACUUAGUCCCUCCUGCCUUUGUUUUACUAGAAUAAGGUGCACAUGGCCACUCUCUAAGGUGUAUUUAUAUUCUCCCAUG